rnacentral:rRNA from 1 species
GACGAACGCUGGCGGCGUGCUUAACACAUGCAAGUCGAACGGAAAGGCCCUGCUUUUGUGGGGUGCUCGAGUGGCGAACGGGUGAGUAACACGUGAGUAACCUGCCCUUGACUUUGGGAUAACUUCAGGAAACUGGGGCUAAUACCGGAUAGGAGCUCCUGCUGCAUGGUGGGGGUUGGAAAGUUUCGGCGGUUGGGGAUGGACUCGCGGCUUAUCAGCUUGUUGGUGGGGUAGUGGCUUACCAAGGCUUUGACGGGUAGCCGGCCUGAGAGGGUGACCGGCCACACUAGGACGGGGAUGCGGCACAGACUCGUACGGGAGGCAACGGAGGAGUGGGUUGCACUGUGGAAGGAGGCCAGAUGUGACAACGCCGCGCGGGGUAAAUCGGGCAUCGGGUUGUAUACCAAUUUUGCUUGUGACGAGGCGUGAGUGACGGUAAUGGGUAAAGAAGCUCCGGCUAACUACGUG